UUCAUUGCUAAAAGCAAUCCCAAGGCGCUACAGGAGGCAUACUAGAACAAACAAAAGAAACAAAAGUUUAAUCAAAGGCUUUUUUUAAAAGAGAGGUUUUUAGGCCUUUCUUGAAGGCGUCAGUGGUCUGUGGAGUCCUCAGAAUUUGCUUCAAAU